UUGCUUUGGCAGCACAUAUACUAAAAUUGAAAUGAUACAAAGAAGACUAGCAUGGCCUUGGCACAAGGAUGACAUGCAAAUUUGUGAAGUGUUCUAUAUUAAA
rnacentral:snRNA from 1 species